GCUAAGGUAGCAUAGUCACUUGUUAUUUAAUUGGUAACUGGAAUGAAAGGUUAAACUAACUUAUUAAGUUUGUGGGCCUAAAUAGUAGUUUAAAGUUAAGGUAAGAAUUCUUUAAUUUUCUAGGGGACGAUAAGACCCUAGAAGCUUAACGAGCGUAGUGGUUUGUUUUAGAAGUUUGUUUGUUUUACUGGGGCGGUAGGAGUAAUUGAGCUAUUUAGUAUUUAAAGGAUCCUUUAAAUAAAGAAAGAAUGGAGAAGUUACUCUAGGGGUAA
rnacentral:rRNA from 1 species